AACGAACGCUGGCGGCAUGCUUAACACAUGCAAGUCGAACGAGACCUUCGGGUCUAGUGGCGCACGGGUGCGUAACGCGUGGGAAUCUGCCCUUAGGUUCGGAAUAACUCCCCGAAAGGGGUGCUAAUACCGGAUGAUGUCUUCGGACCAAAGAUUUAUCGCCUUUAGAUGGGCCCGCGUUGGAUCAGCUUGUUGGUGGGGUAAUGGCUCACCAAGGCGGCGAUCCAUAGCUGGUCUGAGAGGAUGAUCAGCCACACUGGGACUGAGACACGGCACAGACUCCUACGGGAGGCAGCAGUGGGGAAUAUUGGACAAUGGGCGAAAGCCUGAUCCAGCAAUGCCGCGUGAGUGAUGAAGGCCUUAGGGUUGUAAAGCUCUUUUACCAGGGAUGAUAAUGACAGUACCUGGAGAAUAAGCUCCGGCUAACUCCGUGCCAGCCGCCGCCGUAACAC
rnacentral:rRNA from 1 species